CUCCCAGGCAUGGCUUGCAAUGUUCCGCACAUGCUGCUUAGAGAAAACGCAUGGCCAUAAGAAAUGCAGCUCAAAGUGUGCACACUACCACAGCUCAGGGAAGCAUUCGCUCUGGAUCCUUUAAGCUUUUAUUCCGGGUAAGGCAGCCUGCUCUCUCAGCACGUUGGGUUCUCCAGGAAGGAGGCUCUGAGACGGACAUUAGCAUGGAGGAGGUUUACUAGCAGAAGAUAAGAGGGGAAAGCUGGCUCGGGAAGAGGGAAAGGUCAAGUUGCAAUGUGAUCUCCACUGAAGCUUUAGCUGGCCUCUAGCUCCGAAGAAAAGAAGACCUUCCAGUGGUGUUCUGAGUCUGGGAAGAACCGAGGGGAGAGAGGGAAAGAGGAGGGAACCAGAAACAUGGUGGAGUAGGAGGAUCCUGAGCUCACCUCAUCCCAUGCACACACCAAGGCAACAGCUACACCUGUACAACUUAUCUGAAAAUGACCUGAAGACUGGCAGAAAACAUCUUCUACAGCUAGUCAUAGAGAGAA